GGAGCCCAAGAGAAGUGAAUUAUCGCAUCGUAGUCCGAGAUCUGGGCAAACCCUGCACGAGUAUGAAGCUCUGUCUUCCUCGAGCCGCUCUACCUCCUAUAGCGCUCGAUACAGAGGAGCCUUAUUUGACUACGGUUUUAAAGGAGAAUCAAGACUCAACUUGACAUAAUGAAAUCAUUUCCUAUGACUCCCUCAGGAAGUUGCCCAGCAUUCUCCCUCCUGACUUCCAGAAAAUGAAUUCUUUCAAAUUCCCAACCUGCCUCUGUUUCCUGGUGCCUGGACCAUGAAAAUGAUUGAAAUUUUACAUCAGGUUUUUAUGAAUGUAGAGGAGUAAAAGGUGGAGCUGGUGAACUUGGUUCUGCAUCUCUGCUACUAGAACCAACUGAAACCAGCUGGAGAAAGUCAUUUGUUAAAUUUUAGGAGUGAGCAUUUACACUCAGGAAAGCAGAAAAUGCUACAAAUUAGGACUUGAAAUAUUGUUUUGUUUAUUCUAGACUUAAAAAAGCGAAGAAGAAAGUGUUAAUAAUGCAAAUUAAACUAUAAAACUUUAAAAAAUA